rnacentral:rRNA from 1 species
AUUGAACGCUGGCGGUAUGCUUAACACAUGCAAGUCGAACGGUAGCAGGCCUUCGGGCGCUGACGAGUGGCGGACGGGUGAGUAACGCGUAGGAAUCUGCCUCAUAGUGGGGGACAACGUGUGGAAACGCACGCUAAUACCGCAUACGCCCUACGGGGGAAAGCGGGGGACCUUCGGGCCUCGCGCUAUGAGAUGUGCCUGCGUUAGAUUAGCUAGUUGGUAGGGUAAAGGCCUACCAAGGCGACGAUCUAUAGCUGGUCUGAGAGGACGAUCAGCCACACUGGGACUGAGACACGGCCCAGACUCCGACGGGAGGCAGCAGUGGGGAAUAUUGGACAAUGGGCGCAAGCCUGAUCCAGCAAUACCGCGUGUGUGAAGAAGGCCCUAGGGUUGUAAAGCACUUUCAAUAGGGAGGAAAACCUGUCGGUCAAUACCCGGCAGCUUGACAUUACCUAUACAAGAAGCACCGGCUAACUCCGUGCCAGCAGCCGCGGUAAGAC